GACCUCACCAAAUGAUGUAAGACAUCCGAUCUCUAGAUUGAACCUUACCAAAUGAUGUAAGAUAUUCUAUUUCCGGAUUGAACCUCACCAAAUGAUGUGAGACAUCUGAUCUUCGGAUUGGACCUCAAGCGAAAUAUCCAAUCUUUGGAUUGGAUCCCAUAAUAUUAUGUGAAAUAUCCGAUCUUCGGAUUGAACCUCAUAAUAUGAUGUGAAAUAAUUGAUCUCCAGAUCAAAUGGACUUGAUUCGAUGAAAAAAGCACUCAGGUUUAUAAGCUGAUUUUCACUAAUAAGACUUGUGAAAGGACAGCACAGAUCACAGACUUAUAGAUUAAAAAAUCCAACCUGUAUUUUCGAACUCAACUAAAGGUACCUUUAAAACCUUUACAUUGAAUUAUUAGAGAUUAAUUUAUCUCUAGUUAUUUGAUCUGAUUCAA
rnacentral:lncRNA from 1 species